GACGAACGCUGGCGGCGUGCUUAACACAUGCAAGUCGAACGGAAAGGCCCUGCUUGCAGGGUGCUCGAGUGGCGAACGGGUGAGUAACACGUGGGUGAUCUGCCCCUUACUUUGGGAUAAGCCUGGGAAACUGGGUCUAAUACUGGAUAGGACCAUGCUGUAGGUGGUGUGGUGGAAAGAUUAGUUUCGGUAAGGGAUGAGCUCGCGGCCUAUCAGCUUGUUGGUGGGGUAAUGGCCUACCAAGGCGUCGACGGGUAGCCGGCCUGAGAGGGUGGACGGCCACAUUGGGGCUGAGAUACGGCCCAGACUCCUACGGGAGGCAGCAGUGGGGAAUAGUGCACAAUGGGCGCAAGCCUGAUGCAGCGACGCCGCGUGGGGGAUGACGGCCUUCGGGUUGUAAACUCCUUUCAGCCAUGACGAAGCCCUUGUGGUGACGGUAGUGGUAGAAGAAGCACCGGCUAACUACGUG
rnacentral:rRNA from 1 species